rnacentral:rRNA from 1 species
AACGAACGCUGGCGGCAUGCCUAACACAUGCAAGUCGAACGAGACCUUCGGGUCUAGUGGCGCACGGGUGCGUAACGCGUGGGAACCUGCCCUUAGGUUCGGAAUAACUCCCCGAAAGGGGUGCUAAUACCGGAUAAUUUCUUCGGACCAAAGAUUUAUCGCCUUUGGAUGGGCCCGCGUUGGAUUAGCUAGUUGGUAGGGUAAAAGCCUACCAAGGCGACGAUCCAUAGCUGGUCUGAGAGGAUGAUCAGCCACACUGGGACUGAGACACGGCCCAGACUACUACGGGAGGAAGCAGUGGGGAAUAUUGGAAAAUGGGCGAAAGCCUGAUCAAGCAAUGCCGCGUGAGUGAUGAAGGCCUUAGGGUUGUAAAGCUCUUUUAACCGGGAUGAUAAUGACAGUACCGGGAGAAUAAGCUCCGGCUAACUCCGUG